GAUCAUGGCUCAGAUUGAACGCUGGCGGCAGGCCUAACACAUGCAAGUCGNGNGGCAUCGGGAAGGUAGCUUGCUAUCUUUGCCGGCGAGCGGCGGACGGGUGAGUAAAGUCUGGGGAUCUGCCUGAUGGAGGGGGAUAACUACUGGAAACGGUAGCUAAUACCGCAUGAUGUUACGCGACCAAAGCGGGGGACCUCCGGGCCUCGCGCCAUCAGAUGAACCCAGAUGGGAUUAGCUAGUAGGAGAGGUAAUGGCUCCCCUAGGCGACGAUCCCUAGCUGGUCUGAGAGGAUAACCAGCCACACUGGAACUGAGAGACGGUCCAGACUCCUACGGGAGGCAGCAGUGGGGAAUAUUGCACAAUGGGCGCAAGCCUGAUGCAGCCAUGCCG
rnacentral:rRNA from 1 species